rnacentral:rRNA from 1 species
UACGUAGGGGGCAAGCGUUGUUCGGAAUUACUGGGCGUAAAGGGCGCGUAGGCGGCUCGGCAAGUCGGGAGUGAAAGCCCGGGGCUCAACCCGGAACGGCUCUCGAAACUGCCGGGCUCGAGUGCGGAAGAGGCAACCGGAAUUCCCAGUGUAGCGGUGAAAUGCGUAGAUAUUGGGAAGAACACCUGAGGCGAAGCGGGUUGCUGGGCCGACACGUGACGCUGAUGCGCGAAAGCCAGGGAGCGGAACGG